AUUGAACGCUGGCGGCAUGCCUUACACAUGCAAGUCGAACGGCAGCAUGGAAGAGCUUGCUCUUCUGAUGGCGAGUGGCGAACGGGUGAGUAAAGCAUCGGAACGUACCGUGUAAUGGGGGAUAACGUAGCGAAAGUUACGCUAAUACCGCAUACGACCUGAGGGUGAAAGCAGGGGAUCGCAAGACCUUGCGUUAUACGAGCGGCCGAUGUCAGAUUAGCUAGUUGGUAGGGUAAAGGCCUACCAAGGCGACGAUCUGUAGCUGGUCUGAGAGGACGACCAGCCACACUGGGACUGAGACACGGCCCAGACUCCUACGGGAGGCAGCAGUGGGGAAUUUUGGACAAUGGGGGAAACCCUGAUCCAGCCAUGCCGCGUGCAGGAUGAAGGCCUUCGGGUUGUAAACUGCUUUUGUACAGAACGAAAAGGUUUCUAUUAAUACUAGGAGCUCAUGACGGUACUGUAAGAAUAAGCACCGGCUAACUACGUG
rnacentral:rRNA from 1 species